CCGAGUUUACAACUCCCAAACCCAAUGUGAACGUUACCAAACUGUUGCCUCGGCGGGAUCUCUGCCCCGGGUGCGUCGCAGCCCCGGACCAAGGCGCCCGCCGGAGGACCAACCAAAACUCUUAUUGUAUACCCCCUCGCGGGUUUUUUACUAUCUGAGCCAUCUCGGCGCCCCUCGUGGGCGUUUUCGAAAAUGAAUCA
rnacentral:misc_RNA from 1 species